ACAUAAUAAUGACAGUACAGGCAAUCGGCUGUACAGGGCGCGGACCACAGAGAAUCUUUACUCGAGUCAACAUUUGUCUUGGGAAUCAAGUAUCUUAUGGACCACUAAAUAUGAGAAAAAGUUAUUGGUACAUUCACUAUAGGAAUUGAGGAUUCUGAAUCGAUUGUCACCAAGAUCAGUAAUAUUAAUGUACGAGAUCAGGUGGUAUUGAGAUGAUGGCGCUGAUGAAGAUACACGGUUGAGUCUUACGCCAAGUACAGGCAACCGGCGAUACAGCCAAGGCAACGAAGCAAGUCACGUAACUGAGAGUCAUUAAUGGCGUUCUGCUCGUGGACGUUGUGCAGUAAGGUAAGAAAGGAGACUAAGCGGUGACUGUUUACAUACCUCGACCUGCGGGUGCAACGGAGAGAGCACUACGGUGCAAGCGAAAUGCCAAACCUUGCGAGAGCUGCCUAAUA